rnacentral:rRNA from 1 species
AGCAGCCGCGGUAAUUCCAGCUCCAAUAGCGUAUAUUAAAGUUGUUGCAGUUAAAAAGCUCGUAGUUGAAUUUCGGGGUUAGUAAGUUGGUCAUGCCUUCGGUAUGUACUGGCUUUACUGAUUCCUCCUUCUUGACGAACCGUGAUGUCAUUAAUUUGGUGUUGCGGGAAAUCAGGACUGUUACUUUGAAAAAAUUAGAGUGUUUAAAGCAGGCUAACGCUUGAAUACAUUAGCAUGGAAUAAUGAAAUAGGACGUUAAUCCUAUUUUGUUGGUUUCUAGGAUCGACGUAAUGAUUAAUAGGGAUAGUUGGGGGCAUUAGUAUUCAAUUGUCAGAGGUGAAAUUCUUGGAUUUAUUGAAGACUAACUACUGCGAAAGCAUUUGCCAAGGAUGUUUUCAUUAAUCAAGAACGAAAGUUAGGGGAUCGAAGACGAUCAGAUACCGUCGUAGUCUUAACCAUAAACUAUGCCGACUAGGGAUCGGAUGAUGUUAUUUUUAAUGACUCAUUUCGGCGCCUUACG